UGUAAAUUAGUGUAUGAUGCACAUAAAUUUUUGAUAUUUAAAGAUAAGUUUAAUUCUUAAAUUUACAA